GUUCACCUUCACACUCCUGGGCCAGACGACACUCAAUCAUAGGACCUACUGAAGAGAUUAGUCUUUAUUAAAGACUUAAAGGUUGAGACCGAGUCUGCAUCUCUCACAUGGAUAGGCAGAACAUUCCAGAUUGACUUUAGAGAAAGCUAUAACGUCUACACCUGGCUGCAAGACAUCCUAAACUCGCUGUCCUAGUACAUAAAACAACAGUUUAUCGAUUUAAGGUUGUGCUGUUAUCUUAGAGCCUGUUUUGAAGUGAUUUGAACAAUUAUAAGCUUUAAUGUUUCUGGUUUGUCAUCUACACUUAUCAUUUCCAGUCACUGUGUUCAUAUAGCACCUGGUGCUUAAAGAGGACGCUCGUUUAUGGACCCUGUGUUUUCAGAGUUUAGUAAACAGAGUAAGUUCUUCAUACUCACAGCCAAGCUGUUUCUUCCAGCAAUAGUAUAGUACAACACAAGUGUAUAGUACAUUGUAGCAUCAAUAUUUGAUUUGACUCAAUGGCUGUUUUUUUAUCCCAGUGUUUUGUUUUUUUUUUUUACUUCAAAAGCAUACAGUAUAUGUUGCCAAGUGAACAACUCUAUCAGUGAAAGCCUCCUCUCAUGUUGACAAGCUUUUGAAAACCGUUCUGGUUGGACUUUUCCCGAAAGCACGUCCCAAUAGAAAGUGUUUCUAUAUUCUUCCUGUAUAUUUUACGUAUACUCUGCUGUUCUUACCUCAUCAGGACUACAGUAGCACAACAAACGUGCUGUGUUUUAAAUUGCUAAUGGUAAAGAAAGAGCUCAGCUAUAUCAUUUUUUGCAUACUUUGUAUAUGCUUAAAUAUUAGUAUAUUUAGAGGUUUGCAUACCUCGUAGAUGUAUAUAAAAUGUUCACAGUAUUUAUAUUGAUUGUCUGGAAGGGGAAUAGUAUUUUGUACUGUAUGUGUUCAUUGUGUUAAACUCGGCUGUGCUAAUAUUGCAAGACAAUAGUAAGAGUUUGAUUGUAAUUGUAUGUCUACUUCAGUAGACAGUUCACACAUCGUUUCCCCCAUUAUCCCCUUUUCAUAUGUGGGUUCUUGUUAAAAAUGAACAAUUUAUUGAUGCUAUUAUAUAAUAUUGAUAAACAUAGUUUACUGUUUUGUCCUCUGAAUAUCUAAAUUGUUAUGUGUAGGCCAAACCUUCACUGUUUGCAGUUUGACAGUGCUGAAUAGAAUAGGACUGAACUCAAAUACCUGGCCACUCCCCUGGCCACUCCCCUGGCCACUCCUCUGGCCACUACUUUGGCCACUCCUCUGGCCACUCCUCUACCCUUGCGCUUCUGGAAGAGUCAUUUCAUGCCCUACACAAACUCUCCUUCAUUUAGAAUACCUUCUAUCCAAAGUGAGUGAUGAAAGUCUCUUCCGGGCAGUACAUCCACAUGGGGUUUUAGGCUGUAACUGAGGUAUAAAUCAGAUUCAUUGUCAGUUCAAGUUCCCAGUUCAAGUGUUGAUUGAAGCUAUGAACAUGGAGUGGACUUAAGGCCUUUUUUGUAGUCUUAUUUAAGAUGCAGGUAGCUAACUUUAGCAACCUUCAAAGGUGGUCUCAACAAGUGGCUUUGCAUGACUUCUCAAUUCUGACUUCUGCUAAUUCUCAUCUGAAAACACCAGUGGUCUGCUUUCAGGAAAUUAGUCACCUGAAUUACUGUGUUGACCUGUGUUUUGGUCUGUGGAAAUGUUAAGCUUAAACAUAAUUUGAUUUUUUUUAUCAACUAGACUAUUGUUAAAGUACGUUAUGUUUUAUGAAAAAAAAAUGUAAAGUUAUGUGUAAAAUGGUAUUUAUGUUAUGCUCUAAAUUAUGUUUGUUUCAAUCAGUUCGACAUUAUUUAUUGAAUAUCUUUAUUGUUUUUUGUUUUAAUAAAAUGCUGAAUAGUAUUUGUCAGAGUAUAAUGGAUUGUGUUGAAGCUGCAGUUAUAGAACAUCUGCAUUCUGAUAGCAAUGUCCUGCAGUUAUAGAACAUCUGCAUUCUGAUAGCAAUGUGCUGCAGGUAUAGAACAUCUGCAUUCUGAUAGCAAUGUGCUGCAGGUAUAGAACAUCUGCAUUCUGAUAGCAAUGUGCUGAAGGUAUAGAACAUCUGCAUUCUGAUAGCAAUGUGCUGAAGGUAUAGAACAUCUGCAUUCUGAUAGCAAUGUCCUGCAGGUAUAGAACAUCUGCAUUCUGAUAGCAAUGUGCUGCAGUUAUAGAACAUCUGCAUUCUGAUAGCAAUGUGCUGUAGGUAUAGAACAUCUGCAUUCUGAUAGCAAUGUCCUGCAGGUAUAGAACAUCUGCAUUCUGAUAGCAAUGUGCUGCAGGUAUAGAACAUCUGCAUUCUGAUAGCAAUGUGCUGCAGGUAUAGAACAUCUGCAUUCUGAUAGCAAUGUCCUGCAGGUAUAGAACAUCUGCAUUCUGAUAGCAAUGUGCUGCAGGUAUAGAACAUCUGCAUUCUGAUAGCAAUGUCCUGCAGGUAUAGAACAUCUGCAUUCUGAUAGCAAUGUGCUGCAGGUAUAGAACAUCUGCAUUCUGAUAGCAAUGUGCUGCAGGUAUAGAACAUCUGCAUUCUGAUAGCAAUGUCCUGCAGGUAUAGAACAUCUGCAUUCUGAUAGCAAUGUGCUGCAGGUAUAGAACAUCUGCAUUCUGAUAGCAAUGUGCUGCAGGUAUAGAACAUCUGCAUUCUGCAUUCUCAUAGCAAUGUCCUGCAGGUAUAGAACAUCUGCAUUCUGAUAGCAAUGUGCUGCAGGUAUAGAACAUCUGCAUUCUGCAUUCUCAUAGCAAUGUGCUGCAGGUAUAGAACUUCUGCAUUCUCAUUGCAAUGUGCUGCAGGUAUAGAACAUCUGCAUUCUCAUAGCAAUGUGCUGCAGGUAUACAACAUCUGCAUUCUGACAGCAAUGUGCUGCAGGUAUAGAACAUCUGCAUUCUGAUAGCAAUGUCCUGCAGGUAUAGAACAUCUGCAUUCUGAUAGCAAUGUCCUGCAGGUAUAGAACAUCUGCAUUCUCGUAGAAAUGUGCUGCAGGUAUAGAACAUCUGCAUUCUGAUAGCAAUGUGCUGCAGGUAUAGAACAUCUGCAUUCUGAUAGCAAUGUGCUGCAGGUAUAGAACAUCUGCAUUCUGACAGCAAUGUGCUGCAGGUAUAGAACAUCUGCAUUCUGAAAGCAAUGUGCUGCAGGUAUAGAACAUCUGCAUUCUGAUAGCAAUGUGCUGUAGGUAUAGAACAUCUGCAUUCUGAUAGCAAUGUGCUGCAGGUAUAGAACAUCUGCAUUCUCGUAGAAAUGUGCUGCAGGUAUAGAACAUCUGCAUUCUGACAGCAAUGUGCUGUAGGUAUAGAACAUCUGCAUUCUGAUAGCAAUGUGCUGCAGGUAUAGAACAUCUGCAUUCUGAUAGCAAUGUGCUGCAGGUAUAGAACAUCUGCAUUCUGAUAGCAAUGUGCUGAAGGUAUAGGACAUCUGCAUUCUGAUAGCAAUGUGCUGCUGGUAUAGAACAUCUGCAUUCUGAUAGCAAUGUGCUGAAGGUAUAGGACAUCUGCAUUCUGAUAGCAAUGUGCUGCUGGUAUAGAACAUCUGCAUUCUGAUAGCAAUGUGCUGCAGGUAUAGAACAUCUGCAUUCUGAUAGCAAUGUGCUGAAGGUAUAGAACAUCUGCAUUCUGAUAGCAAUGUGCUGCUGGUAUAGAACAUCUGCAUUCUGAUAGCAAUGUGCUGAAGGUAUAGAACAUCUGCAUUCUGAUAGCAAUGUGCUGAAGGUAUAGAACAUCUGCAUUCUCAUAGAAAUGUGAUGCAGGUAUAGAACAUCUGCAUUCUGAUAGAAAUGUGCACCUAUUUCCCUCAAGUGUUCUUGUUGCACCCAACCUGCACACAGAAAAUCUCUUUGGAGGAUUUCAAUUGAUUUUCUCUUUCAGAGCGAAAGGUGCGUCCUCCUGCUUUGGUGUUAUUUUAUUGAAAGGAAAUAAUAUAUACUGCACUGCAAUAGAAACCACAGAUCAGUUCACAGUAUAGUGCAUCUUCAUUGUCUCCCAGUUCUUUUAUGGACGUUUUGCCAACAAUUUGCAAGAGAGUGACCAAAACUAUUCUCUUUUCUUUUUCCUUGCCCUAUAUAAUACUGAACAAUAUUUUUGCCAUGUUGUUACUGCAAACUCCUUACUGCAAACAUUUCUAUGAAUGUUAAAAUAAUAAUUUUAUGUGUGUAAAUGGUAACAAGAAUAGGCCUACCAUCGUAAAAGUAAAAACAUGUAUGUAAUUUAUGUAGAAAUGCAACUACAAUUAAAGAUUUAUUUCGCUAAUUUAAUCAUG